rnacentral:rRNA from 1 species
UAUGUGAUCGUCUCUCGCAUAUCAAUAAGCGGAGGAAAAGAAACUAACAAGGAUUCCCCUAGUAACGGCGAGUGAAGCGGGAAGAGCUCAAAUUUGAAAUCUUAAAGGGUUUCCCUUUACGAAUUGUAGUUUAAAGAAGUGUUUUCUGUUGAGGUUUUGGUAAAAGUUCUUUGGAAUAGGACAUCAUAGAGGGUGAGAAUCCCGUAUUUGACCUUUACUUUCAACUUUGUGAUACACUUUCAAAGAGUCGGAUUGUUUGGGAAUGCAGUCCAAAAUGGGUGGUAAAUUUCAUCUAAAGCUAAAUAGUUGGCGAGAGACCGAUAGCGAACAAGUACCGUGAGGGAAAGAUGAAAAGAACUUUGAAAAGAGAGUUAAACAGUACGUGAAAUUGUCAAAAGGGAAGCGUUUGACACCAGUGUUGUUUUUCUGAAAAUCAAUUAAAGAACUGUUUAUGCUAAGUUGUUUAGACUUUAUCAGCUAACUGUUUAGUUUUGAGCUUUUCUUUAAUGCACUUUUCAGUUAACAAGUCAACAUCAAUUUCUUUUGCUGUAAAAAAGCUUGAGGAAGGUGGCUUGAGAUUCGUCUUAAGUGUUUAUAGCCUCUUGCCUACUGCAGUCGGAGAGAUUGAGGUCUGCAGCGUAGAUCCUUCGGGGCUAAAUGCAUUUGUGCUAAGUUAUAACAUUUUAUAGACAACUUGUUGACUAUGAUUUGUCUUGUAGCUUACUCGCUUAUGUUAUUUUACCUACGCUUAGGAUGUUGAAGUCAUCGUAUCGCGC